UAUUAAAUAUUUCAUCUAUUUCUAUUGUUAAAAACUAGUGUGGCUGAUGAAAUUUCUAGACAGUUACGUGUACCCCAUGCUAACGAACAAAAACCAGGUUUUAAUAGUAGAAAUGGAUGAAAUUUAUAACA
rfam:Gossypium hirsutum cultivar TM-1 unplaced genomic scaffold scaffold171.1, whole genome shotgun sequence